UACGUAGGGUGCAAGCGUUGUCCGGAAUUAUUGGGCGUAAAGAGCUCGUAGGCGGUUUGUCGCGUCUGCUGUGAAAACUGGAGGCUCAACCUCCAGCCUGCAGUGGGUACGGGCAGACUAGAGUGCGGUAGGGGAGAUUGGAAUUCCUGGUGUAGCGGUGGAAUGCGCAGAUAUCAGGAGGAACACCGAUGGCGAAAGCGCUCUACUGGGCCAUAACUGACACUGAGGGACGAAAGCGUGGGGAGCAAACAGG
rnacentral:rRNA from 1 species